rnacentral:misc_RNA from 1 species
AGAAGCACAAGAAGUCCGCCGGGAUCGCCGAGCCGCCCGUCGCCGACGACGCCUCCGCCGACGACACCACCAAGAAGGCCGCCGCGCCCGCCACCGCCGUCUCCAGGUGGGUCGUCGCCGCCGCCGGUGUCUUGGCCGGCGCCAUUCUCGCCGCCCUCUAAGCUAAGGAGACGACGACGACGACGAACAAAUGCAUCGCCCAUGCAUGCCGUAUGCACGAUGACUGAACUGGAGUGGUGAACCGAAU